CGCGGCCUAUCAGCUUGUUGGAGAGGUAACGGCUCACCAAGGCAUCGACGGGUAGCCGGCCUGAGAGGGUGACCGGCCACACUGGGACUGAGACACGGCCCAGACUCCUACGGGAGGCAGCAGUGGGGAAUAUUGCACAAUGGGCGGAAGCCUGAUGCAGCAACGCCGCGUGAGGGAUGACGGCCUUCGGGUUGUAAACCUCUUUUAGCAGGGAAGAAGCGAAAGUGACGGUACCUGCAGAAGAAGCGCCGGCUAACUACGUGCCAGCAGCCGCGGUAAUACGUAGGGCGCAAGCGUUGUCCGGAAUUAUUGGGCGUAAAGAGCUCGUAGGCGGCUUGUCACGUCGGUUGUGAAAGCCCGGGGCUUAACCCCGGGUCUGCAGUCGAUACGGGCAGGCUAGAGUUCGGUAGGGGAGAUCGGAAUUCCUGGUGUAGCGGUGAAAUGCGCAGAUAUCAGGAGGAACACCGGUGGCGAAGGCGGAUCUCUGGGCCGAUACUGACGCUGAGGAGCGAAAGCGUGGGGAGCGAACAGGAUUAGAUACCCUGGUAGUCCACGCCGUAAACGGUGGGCACUAGGUGUGGGCAACAUUCCACGUUGUCCGUGCCGCAGCUAACGCAUUAAGUGCCCCGCCUGGGGAGUACGG
rnacentral:rRNA from 1 species